AAGUCGUAACAAGGUUUCCGUAGGUGAACCUGCGGAAGGAUCAUUAUCAUCCAUUUUUUUUAUUUUGUAUUCACUUACAAAAUAAAAAACAUAAACCAAUCGUGAACCGUUCGCCUCCAAUGGAAAUUGAGAUUUGCUUUCUUUUUUUGAAGGCUCUUUUCAUUCGAGUGAGUGCAUAGUAACUGUCUGACACAAAAAAAACAAUUUUUUGUUGUUUUUUAGGAUGUUUUUUUUUGUGUUUUGUUAUUUGUGCCAUGAUUUUUCAUAAUCACGCUCUUUUCAUUGGUUGUAUUUUUCUCUCUAAAAACAAAUUAUUUACCCUUGAAACAAAUUCAUUCAUAUUUUUAUGAACUGAAAAAAAAAGAGUUAACAAAAUAAUGUAAAAAUUAUAAAACAACUCUUAGCAACGGAUAUCUUGGUUCUC
rnacentral:misc_RNA from 1 species